GAAAUGCGAUAAGUAAUGUGAAUUGCAGAAUUCAGUGAAUCAUCGAAUCUUUGAACGCAUAUUGCGCCCGCCAGUAUUCUGGCGGGCAUGCCUGUUCGAGCGUCAUUUCAACCAUCAAGCCCCGGGCUUGUGUUGGGGACCUGCGGCUGCCGCAGGCCCUGAAAACCAGUGGCGGGCUCGCUGUCACACCGAGCGUAGUAGAUUCUCAUCUCGCUCAGGGCGUGCUGCGGGUUCCGGCCGUAAAACAGCCUUAUUUUACCCAAGGUUGACCUCGGAUCAGGUAGGAAGACCCGCUGAACUUAAGC
rnacentral:misc_RNA from 1 species